CACCGUGUUCCCUCCAAAAACCCCUGAAAGAGUAAGACUCUGGAGUACAGCCAACAUGCCAGGAGCCAAAGGAAAUAAAUCGGACAAGAAGUCAGCUACCAAGCAACCUCAGAGUCCUAAAGAUCAGCCAAAAAAAGGUGAUCAGAAAGGAGAUGACAACAAGAAGCAAGGAGGACAGCCGAAAGGAGAAGAGAAGCAAUAACUUCCAGGCGUUUGUGAAGAUGGCUUUGGAGACACUGCUGGGGUCCUGUCACCAUAAACACGGGGGUCCCCAGGGAAGACAGGGCUGAGCGUCCGUCCCCUGCACUACCACACCUGCUCGCCCCCACAGAGAGGCACAAGGCAAAUUUCCAUCCAUCAUCACCUGUUUCACCGCUCGGUUCCUGUUCAUCCCAAACCCCUUAACCUUCCUCACUAGAAUCUGAAAAAAGAGACAUUCAUUU